UAGCUCAGACUGUAAAGCAUCUGCCUUCAGUGCAGGAGACCCAGGUUUGAUCCCUGG
rnacentral:tRNA from 1 species